UUUUGAUCAUUCGAUGUCGGCUCUUCUUAUCAUUGCGAAGCAAAAUUCGCCAAGCGUUGGAUUGUUCACCGAUUAAAAGGGAACGUGAGCUGGGAUUAGACCGUCGUGCGACAGGUUAGUUUUAUCCUACUGAUGGCUCGUCGUUGCGAUAGUAAUACUGCUCAAGUACCUGCUCCUGU